UUGGUGUCUUCAACCAUCAACACGUCGUCUUGGGAUGGAAAAGUCCUGAGCCUGCAGUGUAAGGCCAGAGGUCUACCAUCACCUCAGAUCACGUGGUACAAGCCUAGCGGUCAGCCAAUCACAGCUGGAGUAAGCCCUAUCUCUGGAGGUCAGCUCCAAUUAACAACAACUCAAGACUCAGGGGACUAUGGACAGUAUAUGUGUCCGGCGUCUGACUUGUUAUGGUCAGUGGAACGCCUGAUAGACUUGGCAGCUAUUAGUAUCAGAGGGACUAAUUUAAUCCCAUCUUUGACAUCAGCGAAAUACAAAUUUUGCAGUGGCCUAAACUAUUUCGAACUCAUUCGUCUUGCGUUGGAUUUGAUUGGUUGUAAGUUUAAUGUUUUAUGUACAUGGCAAUUCCUCCUACUUGCUUUUGUUGUGCACAGGUCCACCAACAUCACAACCGACAAUCCAAGCCUCAAAUGCGACAGUCGCAAAAGGUUGGUUUACCUUUUUUUUAAAAAAGAGAUAAUACUUAAGACAUGGACAUUUAUACAACAACACUCGACUGCGUCUCGUAGUGUACUAUUGUUUGUUUAUGGCACGCUCUGACGUCAUUUGUGCAGUGAACUUUUGGUUGACUGUCGAAUGAGUCUCGAGUGUUUUGAACCAUCAGCUGUAAGUUCUGAGCUUUACUUAGUCAGUCCAUGAUGCUUUCUCUUCAACAGGAACUAUUCAUCUAACCUUUUUACCGAACAGUACCUCCGCAGGACACUGGGACCAUUUUCUGAGAGUAAUCCAACUGCUGGAUCCUUUUCCUUCUCCAUGAGUUUCUUGGGGGUUUACCGACCUCUCAACUGCGCCGUUUGAUAGUGCAUAACUCGAACUGCUUAGCAUGUGCUUGAAUCCCCAGUCUCAAGCAAACUUCUCAAACUCCAACGACUUGUAAUGAGGACCAUUUGAACGCACGACUUGAGGAAUUCCAUGUUUCCAUCACAAAUCGCCUCCAGCCUUUUGUCACUAGCUGAAAGUUCACUAAGUACACUGUCCAUGUAACGCUCAAUCUACAUCAUCUUUUGCAUAGCGUUGCUCAGUCUCGCUGAUGGUUCUUGAGAUAUACGUCACAGGUUUCCAGUUACCGUCUACAUCGGCUAAGGUUACACAACACCUUGUCCAUACGAGGAUGCAUCCGCAGAGACCUUGGUUUCCUUCAUUGGGCAUAUAUCGCUAGGACAGGGACUGCGCUUGGUGCAUGCUUUAUGUUAUCCAACCAUCUUUGUUGUGGCUCACCCUAUACCCAUGCACUGUCAGAAGAUCACGCAGGGGCUUUGGUCAUAUCUGCAAGAUUGGAAACAUACUUCCCCAAAUGGUUAAGAAGAUUCUAAGAAUAUUCUCAUCUCUGUCAAGUCAGUAGGCUCUGACAGCUUAGUGAUAGCUGAGAUUCUAAGAAUCUUCUCAGCUCUGUCAAGUCAGUAGGCUCUGACAGCUUAGUGAUAGCUUUUUCAUUAAAGAGAACAAUCUGGAUUCUUUCCUUGAUAGCAAAAUAUCCGAGGAAUUCUACUCAAUCCUGAGAAACAUUCUCUAAGUUGAGGGUUAUAGUUAUAUUCUCUAGCCUCUCUAGAACAGCAUUCAAAUCUCAUUAUGCUCAGUCUAGCUGGCUCCAAAUACUAGAAUAUCAUCAACAUGGCACACUUGUCCACGCAGUUCAUCCAAUAUGCGCUGGAAAUGCUUGUUAGCUAAAGAAAUUCCAAAAUGGUAAUCUUUAAUAACGUAUAUAUGAAUAAUAACUUCGUGUUUUCUUUCUCUCCUAACAGAUACCACCCCUUACCCAUCUACUGCUCUUGGUGUCAGAGCUCUUGCCGGGGUGAUACUGGCAUGCGUGGUGAUUGUGGCUAUAGUUCUGGUGUAGAACCCCGGUCUCAACUGUAUUGCAGCCGCUAUACUGUGCAUCGAAGAAGAAUGCAGGCAAAUAAAGUAACAGUAUGAACUUAAGACUAAUAGAAAAAAAGAUGGAACCUUGAGGUACCCCACUAUCAGAGAAGGUUCCCUGAUGAUGUUCUGGGCUCAAUGCACAGCAUCUUAACUGAUAAAAUGUACAUAUAUGUUAAAAACAUUAAUCUAGAUUUUAUUAGCUUUAGACGGUAAAUAUCUAUAAGAUUUUUAUAAAAUAAAAAAACUCAGCAGAAACAUAUAAAUGACAGUAAAUAUUCAUAGUAUUUGUAAAAGAAAAAGAAAUCAAUUACUUAACAAACUGCUAAAUAAUAUGUUUAUAAAGGACACAAUGUCUUUUUUAA